GGAGCCGUAGCUCAAUCGGUUAGAGCGCUGGCCUGUCAAGCCAGAGGUCGCGGGUUCAAGUCCCGUCGGCUCCG
rnacentral:tRNA from 1 species